GCGUUCCUACGGGGCGCAGCAGUGGGGGAUAUUGCACAAUGGGGGGAACCCUGAUGCAGCGACGCCGCGUGGGUGAAGGAGCGUUUCGGCGCGUAAAGCCCUAUCGGCAGGGAAGAAGAUGACGGUACCUGACCAAGAAGCCCCGGCUAACUACGUGCCAGCAGCCGCGGGAAUACGUAGGUGGCAAGCGUUAUCCGGAUUUACUGGGUGUAAAGGGCGUGUAGGCGGGAGUGCAAGUCAGAUGGGAAAAC
rnacentral:rRNA from 1 species